UUGAGCGAACAGGGAAGAGUCUGUGUUCUGAAUGACUGUGGCAGUACCUGGGCCCCUGGAGCCUUCUGGUGCGGCAGGCGGAGGCACCAAGCCUGGUUGAGCGGAACCUGCGGUUUGUAGUGCUGCGGGCGGAACUUGGAGUUGACUUAGAAUGCUCUGGUUGCAAAGCAGCAUCCACUGUGGGGAACUUAGUCCCAUCACUUCUCCUCUGUAUCCAGCUCUGCAUGCUGUCCCCAGUGAAAUCAAGGGCACAUCAGUUCACAGGAGGUCAAUGAUGGGAAUGACUUGCUCCACCAGGGAGGUGGGAAACCUCACACAUCUGAAGUAUAAUUUUAACCUAUAGGAUUCAAUGAAGAAAAGACUUGAAGCCAUCUCCACCACAUGGGAAGAACAGAUUACGACCAUACAGCAGUCUCACUACGUUGCCCCACAUGGUCUCAAACUUACGAUCCUAGUGCCUCAGCCUUCCAAUAACUGGGAUCACAGAUGCCCAACAGGAAGAAUUCUGUACUCUUGGAAAAGGACUAAUCAGAGAGGAAUCUACUGUCAACUUUCAUCA